rnacentral:rRNA from 1 species
ACCAACAGGGAUUGCCCCAGUAACGGCGAGUGAAGCGGCAACAGCUCAAAUUUGAAAUCUGGCCCCCGGGUCCGAGUUGUAAUUUGUAGAGGAUGCUUUUGGCGAGGUGCCUUCCGAGUUCCCUGGAACGGGACGCCAUAGAGGGUGAGAGCCCCGUCUGGUCGGACACCGAGCCUCUGUAAAGCUCCUUCGACGAGUCGAGUAGUUUGGGAAUGCUGCUCAAAAUGGGAGGUAUAUGUCUUCUAAAGCUAAAUAUUGGCCAGAGACCGAUAGCGCACAAGUAGAGUGAUCGAAAGAUGAAAAGCACUUUGAAAAGAGGGUUAAAAAGUACGUGAAAUUGUUGAAAGGGAAGCGCCUAUGACCAGACUUGGGCCCGGUGAAUCACCCAGCGUUCUCGCUGGUGCACUUCGCCGGGCACAGGCCAGCAUCAGUUUGGCGCGGGGGAGAAAGGCUUCGGGAAUGUGGCUCCCCCGGGAGUGUUAUAGCCCGUUGCGCAAUACCCUGCGCUGGACUGAGGUACGCGCAUUCGCAAGGAUGCUGGCGUAAUGGUCAUCAGCGACCCGUCUUGAAACACGGACCAAGGAGUCGUCUUCGUAUGCGAGUGUUCGGGUGUCAAACCCCUACGCGUAAUGAAAGUGAACGCAGGUGAGAGCUUCGGCGCAUCAUCGACCGAUCCUGAUGUUCUCGGAUGGAUUUGAGUAAGAGCAUACGGGGCCGGACCCGAAAGAAGGUGAACUAUGCCUGUAUAGGGUGAAGCCAGAGGAAACUCUGGUGGAGGCUCGCAGCGGUUCUGACGUGCGAAUCGAUCGUCAAAUAUGGGCAUGGGGGCGAAAGACUAAUCGAACCUU